AGGCUUAUUAACUCGUGAAGAGUUUCAAAAGCCUGUUCCUGGUAAAUCCCUUCUGGAUGCAAGUCCUUUGAAAACUUUUUUGAGUUAAGACGAGGAUAAACUUAAUCAAUCCAUACUGUGAGCGGAUAGGGAAUCUGAUAAAAAAGCUGGCGAUAUUUUGUGCCUGACUCAACAUAUUUUUCACUGGAAGAAUUGAACACGCUUUGGCAACAAUAAGGUUUAAACG
rnacentral:lncRNA from 1 species